AGACCCCAAUGAUGCCAGCACUGGGCGCUGACUCUGAUGAAGACAGACGUGGUGCCCCCUGGCCUUGACUCCCAGGGGUCUGAGGGGCCU
ensembl:snoRNA